AGGACGAACGCUGGCGGCGUGCCUAAUACAUGCAAGUCGAACGGAUUGCCUUCGGGCAGUUAGUGGCGAACGGGUGAGUAACACGUGAGAAACCUGCCCUGGACUUUGGGAUAACCCUCGGAAACGGGGGCUAAUACCGAAUACGACCUUCAACCGCAUGGUUUGUUGGUGGAAAGUUUUUCGGUCUGGGAUGGUCUCGCGGCCUAUCAGCUUGUUGGUGGGGUAAUGGCCUACCAAGGCGACGACGGGUAGCCGGCCUGAGAGGGCGACCGGCCACACUGGGACUGAGACACGGCCCAGACUCCUACGGGAGGCAGCAGUGGGGAAUAUUGCACAAUGGCGGAAGCCUGAUGCAGCGACGCCGCGUGAGGGAUGACGGCCUUCGGGUUGGUAAACCUCUUUCAGCAGGGACGAAGCGACUGAGUUUCUUGGUCAUGACGGUACCUGCAGAAGAAGACGCCGGCCAACUACGUGCCAGCAGCCGC
rnacentral:rRNA from 1 species